rnacentral:tRNA from 1 species
GGAAGGAUAGUCCAGUGAUUAGGGUGCAAGCCUGGGACGCUGGAGACAAGGGUUCAACUCCCUGCUCUACCA